rnacentral:rRNA from 1 species
UCCUACGGGAGGCAGCAGUGGGGAAUAUUGCACAAUGGGCGCAAGCCUGAUGCAGCCAUGCCGCGUGUAUGAAGAAGGCCUUCGGGUUGUAAAGUACUUUCAGCAGUGAGGAAGGUGGGUAUGUUAAUAGCAUACUCAUUUGACGUUAGCUGCAGAAGAAGCACCGGCUAACUCCGUGCCAGCAGCCGCGGUAAUACGGAGGGUGCGAGCGUUAAUCGGAAUUACUGGGCGUAAAGCGCAUGCAGGUGGUUUGUUAAGUCAGAUGUGAAAGCCCGGGGCUCAACCUCGGAAUUGCAUUUGAAACUGGCAAACUAGAGUACUGUAGAGGGGGUAGAAUUUCAGGUGUAGCGGUGAAAUGCGUAGAGAUCUGAAGGAAUACCGGUGGCGAAGGCGGCCCCCUGGACAGAUACUGACACUCAGAUGCGAAAGCGUGGGGACGCAAACAGGAUUAGAUACCCUGGUAG